UCUCAGGAGCCUCUGGUUCGGAAUUCUGUACUAUUGCCCUCCUUUUACACAAAUUUAUUCCCGCUCAGCACCACACGCCCAUUUGCCCUGCUGGAGGUACGCCACGGUCCUGGGCUUCACCUUCACCCAUCAGCCCUUGCAGUGGAAUGUUCUAGAACACCAGAUAUCCUUGGAUUCCUUCCCCCUUGUUUAUGCCUCCUCAUCACCUGGCUUUCCCACCACUUUGGCCUAAUCUCUUCUUUUCCCUCUAGGACCCACCUGGCCUCACGGGCUCACAUGUGCUAACAGCCCCAGGAAGCAUUUUAGGGGGAAGAAAGCAGGCGUUCUGUCUGAAAGAAUGUUUCCGAGGCACUCUCCUCUGCACCGUUUAACCAACAUUGGUGCUGUUCAGACUCGGAUACACCACUGAGCACCUGCUGUGACCGCUGCCACCUCUUCCCCCAUCCAACAAGACUGCAAGACCGUGAGCGCGUUCCUCGCCUCCACUAGACCCCUACACAGCUUCCACUACUGCUACCGCCAUGAUUCUUCACAGUGGAGGUUUAUAAUGAAGAGAUCGCCUCAAAAGAGACUUUGGACUUCGGAACUGUUGAAAAGACCUUGGGGACUUGGACUGAAUGCAUUUUGAAUUAUAAAAUACUGUGAGUUUAUGGAGGCCUGGAAGGUAGUGGUUUGAAUGAGAACAGCCCCCCCCCACCCCCCACCCCCGUCCCGUCAGCUCAGAUAUCUGAACACUUGAUCCCAGGUUGGUGGCGAUCUUUGAGGAGGUUUAGGAUGUGUGCCCUUGCUGAAGAACGUCGUCAGAUAUCAGCUUGCUCUCUCUGCUUGUGUUUGAAGAUGUGAGCUCUCAGCUCCUGCCACGUCUGCCUCUCGCUGCUAUACCUCUUCCCUGCCAUGAUGAACUGUUAUCACUCCGCAACUCUGCCAAAAUAAGCUUUGUUUUGUUUUGUUUUUAUGGUAACAGAA